rnacentral:rRNA from 1 species
UAGUCCACGCCGUAAACGAUGGUCACUAGCUGUUCGGACUUCGGUUUGAGUGGCUAAGCGAAAGUGAUAAGUGACCCACCUGGGGAGUACGUUCGCAAGGUUGAAACUCAAAGGAAUUGACGGGGGCCCGCACAAGCGGUGGAGCAUGUGGUUUAAUUCGAUGAUACGCGAGGAACCUUACCAGGGCCUAAAUGUAGGAUGCAUUGUUUAGAGAUAGACAUUUCUUCGGACUUCUUACAAGGUGCUGCAUGGUUGUCGUCAGCUCGUGCCGUGAGGUGUCAGGUUAAGUCCUAUAACGAGCGCAACCCCUAUCUUUAGUUGCCAGCACGUAAUGGUGGGGACUCUAGNGAGACUGCCGGCGUAAGCCGCGAGGAAGGUGGGGACGACGUCAAAUCAUCAUGGCCUUUAUGCCUAGGGCUACACACGUGCUACAAUGGUAAGUACAGAGGGCAGCGAUCCCGCGAGGGGGANCCAAUCUCAGAAAGCUUAUCUCAGUUCGGAUUGGG